CUCGUCCACUGCACUCUGGGGCCUGAUGCCAUCAGACGUCCCUUCACCAAUCUGUGGCCUAUUGGAAGAUGCAUUGAAAAAGUGCACGGAUGGUGAAGUAGUAGCCAAGUGACACCAUAUUAUUUUACUAUGAGAGACAGGUUCGUCUGGCCGCUGCCACCUUGAAUGUAAAGCAGGACAUAUUACAGGAGCAGAACAAGACAUUAUUGUAACUAAGAAUGUAUUACAAAAUAUAUGAAAGUGAUGAAAAAAAUAAAUACGCCUUAAUUUGA